AGAGUUUGAUCCUGGCUCAGGAUUAACGCUGGCGGCGUGCCUGACACAUGCAAGUCGAACGAGGCCGCAAGGCCGAGUGGCGGACGGGUGAGUAACACGUGACCAACCAACCUCGAAGUUGGGAAUAGCUCUGCGAAAGUAGGGGUAAUACCGAAUGUGGCCCAAGGCGGGCAUCCGCCUUGGUCUAAAGAUUCAUCGCUUCGAGACGGGGUCGCGGCCUAUUAACUUGUUGGUGGGGUAACGGCUCACCAAGGCGAUGAUGGGUAGCUGGUCUGAGAGGACGACCAGCCACACUGGGACUGAGACACGGCCCAGACUCCUACGGGAGGCAGCAGUGAGGAAUCUUCCGCAAUGGGCGAAAGCCUGACGGAGCAACGCCGCGUGUGGGAUGAAGGCUCUAGGGUUGUAAACCACUGUCGGAGGGGACGAUCGUGACGGUACCCUCCAAGAAAGCCCCGGCUAACUACGUGCCAGCAGCCGCGGUAAUACGUGGGGGGCAAGCGUUAUCCGGAUUUACUGGGCGUAAAGCGCGUUAAGGCGGAUGGCAAAGUUGGGGGUGAAAUUUCGGGGCUUAACCCCGAAACUGCCGCCAAUACUGGUCAUCUAGAGUGUGGGAGAGGAAGGUGGAAUUCCGGGUGUAGUAGUGAAAUGCGUA
rnacentral:rRNA from 1 species